rnacentral:rRNA from 1 species
GGAGGGUGCAAGCGUUGUUCGGAAUUACUGGGCGUAAAGCGCGUGUAGGCGGCUUGGUAAGUCGGGUGUGAAAUCCCGAGGCUCAACCUCGGAACUGCACCCGAAACUGCCAAGCUUGAGUCCCGGAGAGGGUGGCGGAAUUUCCGGUGUAGAGGUGAAAUUCGUAGAUAUCGGAAGGAACACCAGUGGCGAAGGCGGCCACCUGGACGGUGACUGACGCUGAGACGCGAAAGCGUGGGGAGCAAACAGGAUUAGAUACCCUGGUAGUCCACGCCGUAAACGUUGAGUGCUAGACGUCGGGGGUAUUGACCCCCUCCGGUGUCGGAGUUAACGCAUUAAGCACUCCGCCUGGGGAGUACGGCCGCAAGGCUA